UCUGUGUGUUCAGUCUGGUUAAUGAGACAGCUUCCAACAAGCCUCUUGAAUAGGAUGGAUGGCUGCGGAGAACGCCGCUCUACUCCUCUCCACCUUCUCCUCCACUAUUUUCCCCCCGCUGCUCUGCCUCUCUGACUACAUGGUUCUUACAGUUUCUUCUGACAUCAUUUACUCACCACUUUUCUGUCACGUCAUUCUCUUCUUUUCUCUGCUCUUUUCCUCCCCAUCCACCCAUUCUGAGCAAUCUCCAUCCAGCUCUACAUUUUACCCUCUGAGCCAGGGGAGCCAGUGCAGAGACAUCAGCAUAAAUAAGAAGGAGGGGAGCACAGGGCAAGGGUUCCCUGGGGAGGAUGUUCAUGUUUUCCUUGAAGGAGGGAGACCUCAAAAAGCCCAGGAACACAAUGAAGAGGACGGGGGAAUUAAUUCAGCCGGGUGGGGCGAGCUAUAAACCCCCUUUUGAAUAUAUCAUGCUGAUGGUUAAUGAAUCUUUCAACCCUGGCUAAAAAUGAGGAAAUGAUAAAUAAUAAUACAGAAAUUAUUCCAAGUAAUGAGUGCUGAAAAAUUGAUAAGACAAUUAGUGGUCUGAGUGGUGAAUUUAAAAUAAAUAUAGGAUUUACAACAGCUUAGCCCGGCUGUCAGGCAGCCAUGAAUAUUUCACCUUAUUGAAAGCACCUCCGGAUGAGUGUGACCUGCUCUGCUUGAAUAUUUUACUAUAUGGAAUACAACCUCCCUCAGUUGUAAUUCUCUGAAUAUUUCACAAGACUGAAUACGUCCCUGAAACAUUAUGAUGUGCUUGUACCAAAUGUGGUAAAUAUUUCACUUUUCUCAGUGGACUCGCAGAAGGAAAUAAAAAGGAGAGAAAUCACACUGCUGAUUACACCCCUGGGUGGCCAGAGUGUUAUUACCUCAGCUUAUUCAAUGCAUAAAAUCACUUGGUUGACUGCAAAAUAAAUGUCAGAAAUCAUGUGAGAAGGGGAAUGCUGCUGUGGCUUUUAAAGCAACUUUAGAGGACUCCUUUCCAUGGAUUCCUCCACAAACGCUGCAGUAGUGCCCUCUUGGAUGCCCCUAUAGUAGAUAAAACAUGAUAAGUGCCCUCUAACCUUGGGGUUGGGACCCACACUAGGGGACGCCAAAGCUUAACAGUACUAUCUGUUUCACUACUGAAACAACUACUACUAACGUUACUGCUGUUACUAUCACUAAUAAUACCACCUGUGUAAUGGAUGCUAAUGCUUUUUCUGCUAAUGCUAUAGAGAGGCGAGGUCCCUCCCCUUCCGUGUCUCCCAUUGGACCUUGUUCUGUACAGUAGUCAGUGGUGAGAGACAAAUAAUUUUUUGAUCCCAUUUGAAUUGUGCCCUGAAUUAAAGCAGUGGUUCCCAACCUGGGGGCUGGGACACACACUAGGGAACGCCAAAGCUUCACAGGGAUUGGCGAGGCCUUCUGGACUGAAAUAGACACUUAUAUAAAUAGGGUUAUUCUUAGGGUUAAAAUAGGCCUAUAUGUCAGUAUUUGGUUUACUUCUGUGAAGAAUAGUAAAUAGUCCAAUAGACGUAAGCCAAGUGUUAGAGACAAGGAAACAUUCAACAGAAAAGGAGCCUAUUAAGUCUGUAUGAUUGUUAAAAAUGAGUCCUAUAAGGAAAAAAGGUUGGGAACCACUGCUCUAAGGUGCCCUUAAGACAUGAUAAAGUGCCAAGAACCUUUAGUGGACAUACUAUGACAGGCGCCAUUGUUCCCAUUGAUUAACAUUAGCUUACACUGCAGCCAUUGCAUCAAUAUUUUCUCAUCUAACUCUGUGAAUUAGGGAUUUAUUUUGACCAAACCAGAGUUGGUGAUUAUUGGAAAGACUAACAAAGAUGAUUUUGGCGAAUUUUCUUUUCUGUCCCACUGUUUUGUUCUGAGAUGCUAGUGCUCUCGUGCAACACCCAGUGAAUGUCAUAUAUAUAGAAGUCAGUGCCAUCAAAUGUCUUGAACUGUCUCAUAGUGGCAAAAGAAACUUCUGUGUAUUUUGUUUCUCACAAACUAUCAUCACACAAACACCAGUUUUUAGCUGUGGUUAACUGUGGUUUUAUAGUAGUUUUGGUAUUGUCCUUUUCUGAGAGUGUCCUUUCAAACCAGUCUUCUUGUGUUUCUGUAAGACACCAAAUAAACUGUAGUAAAUGUUCUCUCUCUCAUGUAUAAUCAUUCCUGAUAUGAUUGGUGCCCCUGCUUGGAGAAACAGCAUGGGGAAUCUCUCGAGGUGAAACCGGCUCCCAGCUGAGCUGACAGCUGACGUGAGUGACUGGCUGACUGAAGCAGAACAAGAUGACUCUCAGGGAGUAUUCCUAGACAUAUUCAGACGUCCUUCCUCAAAACUUCACCAACCUCACAUGUUUUCGAAAUCUAAAGAGCUGAAGAUCAGAAGUAAAUAUGACUUUUGGUUUUCUUUCAUAUAGACUUGUUUUUGAGGUUUUGACAAAAGGAUUGUCACACUCUCUUACACUGUUGAGGCAAAAGUAUAAGAUAGAAAUGAAGGUUAUAUAGGUGGAAGGCUGAAUGGAGCUUAGCUCAGCAGCUGCUGACAGUUGUCUUUUCCAGUAAAUCUCACCUAAAAUGACCCUGUGAGGACAUGUUGUGACAUUAGAGCAAUAAAUGCAACUGUCAUGUGCCUCUUUUCCUUUACUCUGAGCUCCAGCCUCCACUGUCGGUCAUCAGAAGCCUCUGGGGUUGGGUUUUUUGUCCGACCUCAGGCUCCAUUAUGGUUCUAAAAAGAAAUUUGUCUUGAUCCAAAAACUCCUCAAGGACAUCCCAAGCUAUUUUGGGUGAAAGUUGCUGAGUGUUAUUGCUGAAGCCACACUAUUUGUCUGUGUGUCUGUCAUGUGUUCCAAUUCCAAUGAGCAGUAAAUCUCAUAUUUCAUAUUACAGGAAACAAUGUAAAUGUUAGUUACCUAAUAUAUUUUCAUGUGGAUCCACUUUAAAUGUUUGCACCCUGCAGUCAGAUGUAGAGGACGCAGCAGGAAGGAGCAUAAAACUGCUUCAAAACAAGAUUUUCACUUUGAGUUGUGACUUAUUUACAGUGCUAGUAAAAAUAUUCAGCCCCAUUUAUUGUGAUCUAAAUAACAAAUACAAAAAUGGUGAUUAUAUCCCUGGCUGCAGCUACAGGCACUGAGGGAUUCAGCUAACACACUUAUGUUAUUGUCUAGGCUUCGUGGUAUAAGAUUUGAAACCAACUAUAAAAGACUCACACACCACCCAACUGCUCAGCUUGGCUGUAAUUGCACCCCAAUUCUGCUAGCUCGCUUCCUCUCAGCAAAUUAAAACAAUCUAGCAGAUACCUGCAAAGACUGCCACAGCAGGGGUGUGGCCUCAACUCUGACUGGAGUGAUUGACAGACUGUCCACAGCAGCGUAGCAGGAACAGCGAGCUGGUGCUCAGCGCUAACCAGGAUGUGAACUACAGGGGAGCCAGGGGCAGCUUGGCUCCUCUUAACCUUUUAAGCCCCAGCCAUAUUUUCAGAAAAAAACACCUAAAAAGACACACCCAAAGUAAAAAAAAGUUGAUGACAAUUGCUUUGUUAUUUGAUGGAAUAUUGAGACAUAAACACAGAAUUUCACAUUUUGACGAUAAAAUGCUAAAUUUUGCUGCGUCUUUGCUACGGGGCUGACACGAGCUGUUUAGGUCGGAUUAUGUUUUGCUUGGUACCAGCAGAAAGAUGAGCUUCUCUAGUUUAAUUUGACACCUAACAUGACUGAGUCGAGUGAGCAGAUAUAUGUGUACUGCUGCGUUUCAUUUCGACUGUCCCUUAUAUUCACAGAGUUGUUAUUUUUUAAGUUAAUUGUUUAAAUUAUUGCAAAACAAACUGUGUUUGAGAAAAAUACACUUGGACUGUUGUUUUGGUAGAGUUGAAGCCUCGUCUUUUGGAAACCACCACAGCGUUUUAUUAACUUUUUACAGGCAGUAAAGCAUUGUAGCGCUGUGCGGGUCUGUCGGGUCUAACAGGUUAAUAAGACAUGAGCUUCCCUGAAAACAUGAUUUGUGAAAUUUUGGGGGGUCUCUUAAAUAGUGCUAUUUUUUGCCAUGCAUUUGAAAAGCUCUCAACUUUAGGAAGCAGAUGUGAUUGUCAGAAUGCAUGUGUUACAGCCCUGGCUGUAUUGUUAUUUGGUAUUGUUUUCGUCUGUGGUGUGUUUGGUAUUUUUGUCCCUGUUUUUCUGCAGGAGUGUGUCACCUGUCUUGCAAGAUCUUUGACAGCAACCCGUAGGUCCCCUCUGACUGGUCAAUGACGUGGGCUCGGCUGGUGGAGUGUUGCCUGCUGGUUGGUUCUCCCGGGGACAGCCGCAACACCCGCCGGGGUUCAAAACGUCUAGCCACACAGAAGAAGUUGGACAGAACACUAAGCAGCAGCAUCCUUCUGUCCUCGGUCGUAUAGAGAGUGUUUUUGAAAUAGCGUGGUGGUUGGUGAGUUUUUGAGUUAGUAUUAGAUUGUGUUUUCGUAUGGUUGUAUUUAGUGAGUAAUGUAGGGGUGAGCUGCCAUUUUCUUUUGUACUGCUUUUCUCCUGUUUUUCAUUAGGUUAGGGAGUUAGGUUUAGUAACUGUCUUUUGCUUUAUAUUAAAUAGGGAUUAGUCAGGUUUUUCGUUCGAGAAAGUUAGCUCUGUUUUGUUUGUUGUUUUGGCCUUGGUUCACCCUGAAGUUUGUUGUUGGUUUUGUUGCACUUUGUUCACAUGUUUGUAAAUAAAUCACUUCACUUGAUUGUUAA